CUAGUAAUCGCGGAUCAGCACGCCGCGGUGAAUACGUUCCCGGGCCUUGUACACACCGCCCGUCACACCAUGAGAGUCUGUAACACCCAAGCCGGUGGGAUAACCUUUAUAGGAGUCAGCCGUCUAAGGUAGGACAGAUGAUUAGGGUGAAGUCGUAACAAGGUAAC
rnacentral:rRNA from 1 species